UUUUAAAUUGCUGUAGUAUUUUGACUAUACAAAGGUAUUGUAAUAAGACUUUAAUUGAGUGCUAAAAGAAUGGAAUUACAAAAAAAGGCUUUUUUAAUUUUAAAAAUUAAAAUUAUUUUUUUUUGUGAAGAAACAAAAAUUUAAAUUAAAGACAAGAAGACCCUAAGAAUUUUUUUUUUUAUUAAAAUAAUAUUUUAUUUUAAAAAUUUAAUUGGGGCGAUUAAUUAAUAUUAAAAACUUUAUUAACAAAAAAAAAUGAUCCAUUAUUAAUGAUUAUUUGAUUAAAAUACUCUAGGGAUAACAGCGUAAUAAUUUUUGAUAGUUCUUAUAGAAAAAAUAGUUUGCGACCUCGAUGUUGGAUUAGGAUUCUUUUUUAAUG
rnacentral:rRNA from 1 species